UGGGGAAUAUUGCACAAUGGGCGCAAGCCUGAUGCAGCAACGCCGCGUGCGGGAUGACGGCCUUCGGGUUGUAAACCGCUUUCAUCCAUGACGAAGCGCAAGUGACGGUAGUGGGAGAAGAAGCACCGGCUAACUACGUGCCAGCAGCCGCGGUGAUACGUAGGGUGCGAGCGUUGUCCGGAAUUAUUGGGCGUAAAGAGCUUGUAGGCGGUUGAUCACGUCGGAAGUGAAAUUCCAGGGCUUAACUCUGGGCUUGCUUUCGAUACGGGUUGACUUGAGGAAUGUAGGGGAGAAUGGAACUCUCGGUGGAGCGGUGGAAUGCGCAGAUAUCGGGAAGAACACCAGUGGCGAAGGCGGUUCUCUGGACAUUUCCUGACGCUGAGAAGCGAAAGCG
rnacentral:rRNA from 1 species